ensembl:lncRNA
CUCUAAAACAACCUUCAGGAGUGUUUUAGAUAAAUAUGCCACAUAAACAUUUGCUGAAAAUGGUGAUUUUCUUACAGUAUACCCUGAAAGAUCUAUACAAUUUUUUUCACUUGCUUGACAAACCUCUUCCAAAAAUGAAGGAUUGGCUAUGACUACAGCAGCGUCUGAACCGGCUGUAUGCAAUUCUGGAGUGUCUUGGCAGAGGGAGAGCUAUUAGAAAAGAAAGCAUGCAAGGUUGAGAGAGUUAAGCC